GAUUAUGGCUCAAGAACGAACGCUGGCGGCGCGUCUUAAGCAUGCAAGUCGAACGGCAAGAGGUAGCAAUACCUCCUAGAGUGGCGGACUGGUGAGUAACACGUGGGUGACAUACCCUUCAGAUGGGGAUAGCUAUUAGAAAUAGUAGAUAAUACCGAAUACGAGCACAGGGGUUAGAGAUCUGUGAGGAGAGGAGCUAAGGCUCCGCUGAAGGAAUGGCCUGCGGCCCAUUAGCUAGUUGGUGAGGUAAGAGCCCACCAAGGCGAUGAUGGGUAUCCGGCCUUAGAGGGUGAACGGACACAUUGGGACUGAGAUACGGCCCAGACUCCUACGGGAGGCAGCAGCUAAGAAUAUUCCGCAAUGGACGAAAGUCUGACGGAGCGACGCCGCGUGGAUGAAGAAGGCCGGAAGGUUGUAAAAUCCUUUUGAAACUGAAGAAUAAGCGUUGUAGGGAAUGACAGCGUGGUGACAGUAGGUUUUGAAUAAGCAACGGCUAAUUACGUGCCAGCAGCCGC
rnacentral:rRNA from 1 species